rnacentral:lncRNA from 1 species
ACAAACAAAGCUCAGUCCUCCCCAAGUCUUCCAUUAAACUUCCCAACAUCAAACUUUCUUACAAACCCAUUAAGGUUUUCGAUUCACACUCACAAAUAUUUAUACAGGAAGACAGAGUUACUUAUACCUUAAAAACUGUGGGAGUGAGUGAGUGAAUGUGAGCACAAAAAGUAUGGGCUGUUUCCAGUCCAAAACCGCCAAUGUUCAGUCGCCUGACCAAGAACCUCCACAGCCUGAGUCCAAACCAGAUCUGGGUAUCCCUCAUUUUACUCAUCGUUAAACUCCUUAUUUUUAAUAAUCUUUCAUACAUAUUUGUGUUUGUACUUCUACUUUCAGAUUUUUUUUCCCCGGGAUUUAAGGGUUGAUUGCAUGCUUAACGCUCUAUAAAUUUUUAACUUUAUUGUGGGCAUCAUUUGUUUUUUUUUCCUAAUUCUAAUAUUUACUGUAGAAAAUGGGUACAAGUGUGUAUGUGUAUAUUGUGUCUCUAUGUGGUUUAUUAUUAUUUAUUUAUUCUGUAAUUAAUGCUUAUGUAUGUAAAUGUGUUUGAGAUUCUAUAGGAAUGUUGCGUCUGUCUAUGUGGUUAAUAUCACGGAAAGUUAUUGAAAAGGGGCUGCUUUUUGAAGGCUUAGAUGAAAAAUGACCUUUUUGGUUAUCAGAUAGUUUCUAUUUUACUUCAAAAUUUCCAAAAUGUCUAUUUUAGGUGGAUUAAAGGUUCCAAAAGAGUUUCUUUAACUGUUCUACUAAUUAAAUUUAUGGGCAUUUAAGUAAAUGUGGGUCUCUGUUCACUAUUCUUUGAGCAAGGUACCACCUUUACCUAAUGAGGUUUUACAUCUUUCUGUUGUCUUUUUAAUGUUUUCACCUUGCUCUCACAGGAUCAGAAGUGUUCUGGCGUUAGCAUAUUCAUUUUUCCAAUGUUUAUCCUUCUUAACCUUUUUAUGUUUUUCUUGCCCGACGAUUACAUCUUGAAUGCUGAUUUCUUGGGGAAACAUAUUUCAUUUUUCCACAUUUAUACUACUUAAUAUGUUGGUAAUAUUUUUGGUUUUGUGUUUGUUCUAUUCUUUUUUGGGAAAGAGGGUUCUUUUGGGUUUUUGUUGUAUUUGCUUAAGGUGUGUUGAGGCAAAUGUUUAAGCUUGACCUACAAAAGGAGAACUUCAUUGUUGAUAAACAUGCCAAAUUUAGAGGAACUCUGAAUUCAUAUGUUAAUCGCUUCUGUAUGCAACAUAUACAUUAAUGCACACGGCAUAGGCUUUUUAUGCUUGUGUUUUUACUUACAUUUUGUUCUUUCAUUUUUGGUGUUUUGGACCACUGUUGAAUAUUAAUGAAGCAAAUGGGGACCAAGGAGAUCAAGAUCUGGUGCCUGCAUUCCAAGAAUUUGGCCUCACGGAUCUGCGAUCUGCAACAAAUGAGUUCAGCAGUGAUUUGAUUGUUUCAGAGAGUGGAGAGAAGGCUCCAAAUGUUGUCUAUAGAGGGAAGCUUCGAAAUAAUCGACUUGUUGCAAUUAAGCGCUUCUCAAAGCAGUCAUGGCCCGACCGCCAACAAUUUGUCGUAA